UACAGAGGUGGCAAGCGUUAUUCGGAAUUAUUGGGCGUAAAGGGCGCGUAGGCGGCUUGGCAAGUGGAUGGUGAAAUCCCUCGGCUUAACCGAGGAACUGCCGUCCAAACUGCUUUGCUUGAGGCCGGGAGAGGCGAGUGGAAUUCCCAGUGUAGCGGUGAAAUGCGUAGAUAUUGGGAGGAACACCAGUGGCGAAGGCGGCUCGCUGGACCGGUUCUGACGCUGAGGUGCGAAAGCGUGGGGAGCAAACAGG
rnacentral:rRNA from 1 species